AGAGGAAACAUGGAGAAGUUACAGCUGGAAGUUUGUCCAUCAGAGGCUCCUGAUCUAAUGCACCUGAGAAGCUUUGGGGAAGGUGAGGCUUCACCUCAGCACUUUUAUUUCCAGGGAUGGGACUCACUACCUACCACCCUCCUCCAUCUGACUAGUCCCUAUAGGAGUGCCUUUUGGAAACCCCUUCCCCAACCCCAAAUUGCAAACUGAACAAUACAUAUUGCCUUGCUUCACAA
rnacentral:lncRNA from 1 species